GGGUAUUGUUUUUGGUGCGCAGAUAAUUAAAGCAUCAAAUAGCAUGUUUCAUGUGCACAAACCCUGAUUAUGUCAAUGAAUGAAUGAAUGUUCAAGGCUCAAUCCUACAUUUAUUAGAUGUUUAUGUUGAAUAAUUUACACAGACACUGAUUUACAUACAGACAAGGUCCGACUCAACAUGAUUUCAUUAGUUUAAAUAUUCUAUUGUGUUUUAGUUUGAAGCACUUUGAAGGUUAUUUGACAUUUGAUAAAAGGUGUUUAGCUGUGUCCUCAUACUCAGGACGGGGCUUUUGUUUGAUGCUCACAGCAGAAGGUUCAUGUCAUCACUUCUAGCACUCAUUUAGCUUUAGAAUUAUUUAAGCUUCAAUCAAAAAGGCAAAAAGGAGUCAAUAUUUCAGGUUUUUAAGAUUAGAGAAUUUAAA